CUUUCUUCUUUUCCUACAAGAAUAGAGGAGAUAAAGAAGGGUGACUACUGUGUAUACAAAGAUGAGUUUUUUCGCACGCCGCAGUUCUCCCAUUUUUCACAAGCCACAGUUCUCCUCUUUUCAGUACUGCAUCGAAGUCACCAUUCAUCUUCUUUUAGAUCCUUUCACCAGUGAUGACAUCUUCGUUAGAACAAUGAAUGAAAGAGUUCAAUGAAGCAUGAAGGCUUUCUAAGGAAAUCAGUGUUAUGCUUUCUGAAAGGGCUCUUUGCCUUCAUCUGGGCUUGAGACCCAAUGGCAAUUGACUGCAAUGAGGAGGAAGAUAACAAUUCUCCAUACCAGACUAGAGAACUUGGAGUCGCUUCUUUCAAAGCUUCCUAGCUUAUAGCCAAUGUGAUAGGUACUUGGAUUUUUGUGAAGCAAU